rnacentral:tRNA from 1 species
UCCCUGGUGGUCCAGUGAUUAAGACUCGACUCUUCCAAUGCAGGGAGCCUAGGUUUGAUCCCUGGUCAGGGAA